rnacentral:lncRNA from 1 species
UGCAUUAUCUGCAAUUCUUUGAUUUACUAAAAUUGCCUUAUUGCAUAUUCUCCUUUGAAUCGAAAUGCAGAAAGUUGACGAAAUGUACGCUAUGCAAUACUUUUCAGAGUUGCAUUGUUACAUUAGGCCACUUUCAUGCAUUCAUAUUGGAAAUUUAAAGGCAUAUCUUUAUCGUUUCACUAAGCUUUCAUCGUAAUAGUAGCAGCGUUCUGUAGCCUUAUUUCAUCAGCCGUCCUAGUCUCGUUUGUUUUCAUUGGUCUUUUUUAUUCCGCAAAAUGUUAUGUUUGGCGAAAGGUCCAGUUUUUUUCUUCGACGAAGUUAACUUGUCUUUAGGAAUGUUAUGUUCCUUUUUAGAGAACUCUUUAGGCCUCCGAAUCUGAAAGGCUUUCCCACCUGCCAACUCUAGAGUUUGAAACCAUGAUUUGCCGAUGAAAUUUGGAAUUUCAGGUUUAUCAAAAACUAGUAGCGGACAUCUAUGGUCUUUUUUGUUAAUUUUCGCUCUGGCGAUAAAGUAGCCCAUCACAUCCUUCCACUCCAACUUAUACUUGAUUCGUCUCCCGCGUAGAACCUCGAUUAAACCGCGUCUUGCCACUUGAUUACCGGACCAUUCAUCGAAACUGAUAGGAAGCAAUUCAGGUUCACCCAACUCCUGCCAUAGAGACUUGUUAAUGCAGGAAAAUCGACAUCGGGUAUCUAUAGCCAUGUUAACGGGAAUUUCGUUGAUUAGAAUCCGAACUUGUUUCGAAACUGGCAUGGGAAUGAAUUUCCGUGAUUCCGUCGUUGAUGGGACGAUAUCGUCCUCUGAAUUUUUUGCCAUUCGGGAUAAAUCUGGUUUAUUUAAUUUGGCGUUUUUUAAAGCUCGUAACCUUGCCUUUGUUUUCUUCCUUAACUCAUUUUCGGCCCAUUUCUUGGCUAGAGCUGCGUCUACUCCUGCAUAUUUGUUUUUGCUCUGUGUUGUUAAUAGCAAGGCAGUCUCAUAUUUUUCAUCGAUCGCCCGUAGUUUUGAUCUAGCAGCAUCGCGCUCUCGUUCUAAUCGUUUGAUCUUGGUCAUAUAAUCGGCUCUUUCCUGUUCGUUUAAUUCAGCUCUAACGAAUUGUCCUGAUUGGGUGGGGGAAUUGAUUGGAACAACCACCUUGCCAUUGAGUUGCGCCGUUCGUACUUCAGCAUUCGAUGCUCCGGCCAAGGGAUUUUCUCUGUUCUUUGACGGUUCAAAAAACGUGGAUCCUAUCGGAGUUUUGUCCAGUUCGGUCAAUAUUUCAUCGUUACCAACAAAAUCAACAGGGUCUUUGCUUAUUUUUCCAUCGUUCAUGACUUUGUCUUUGACCGUUUUUUCUGCAAUAUCUUUCGACGGGAUUUGGAGCCUCGGUUCUAUUCCCAUGUCUGCACAUGCUUGUAGUUCUUUUCUCGCUUUCGUUAAAGCCCUAUUUGUCCAAGCCAAAUCCAUCUUGUAAUAUUUUAGUUUCUCUUGUGCCAGUUCGUAAUUGCGUAGAGACACGUCAGGUUUCAAUUCGGGCCCACAUCUGUUUUUAGUAACUGUAAUAACUUCUGAUUUCCACUCAUCCGCCGGGUGUUCUUUCUUUGAUGCAGAUGCUUCAUCAGUUCGUAAAUUCGGUCCGGUAUGAUCUUCGUUGACGCUAAUCCUUCCUGGUAUAGGGAAAAUUGCAUACAGCAUGUCGCGGAUGAAUUUACCCAAAAAUAUGCAGAAGAUAAGAACAUAGACUCUUAGCAUGGAUUCUGGUUGUAAUAAGCCGUGAAUGACAUAUUCGAAAAACAGAAAUGGGUUGCGAUGCAAACUACGCGAUGACCAAUUGCCAAACACGAUGGGAGACCACACUUUGAAUGGAAGAAAGAGCUCUCCAUCAGCGGGAGGAGGUGAUUUGGACUUGCUGGAGUACCUGAUUUCUUCAACAGUCGCGCCUGCAUCCGCGUGUCGAACUGCUUUCGUUCCAGCACAUUUUUAUGGCGGUAGCACGUUGGGCGUAGAAUUUGAAAAAUCAAGAAUGUCGAUCUGAAGAAAACAAUCGAUAGCGAAACGCAUUCAAAUCAGAAGAUGGUAUUGUUGAUCUUGUGGCGGUGCAUUCCUUGUGAGUUUGGAUUCAUGAACAUCUCAAAUAAGAGUCACGCCAUUUCGUGAGAUGUUUAGCAGGAGUAAGAUAAAACUUCGUCAGUGAGAAAUGGCAUGAUGGGAAGAACCAUACUAGUCUGAUUCCGUGUCUAACAUACCUGAUAACAUAGGAAACAAUGUUACACAUAAAAUGUAAUUUUUUAAAUAUUUCUCUUCCAACACAUUUCAUUAAGAUCAAAACUGAAAAGAAAACCACAUACCAUUAUACUUUAGUUAAAAAUUCCUUAAAAACACAUAAAAAUUAAGAAAAAUUUCUGACACAGAUUUCCCUCGUUAAUUGAUACCACUCAGAAUAGUGACACAGCAAUGCUAUCUAGUUUUUCUAUCUGCAACCCACUCACUUUUCUAUUCCGGAUUCUUAAUGUCUUUAAGGACAUAAAGCUAUAGCACACAGUUUUAUAAAGUGCAUUGGUUAGUGUCGUUGUCGUAUCAAACCAUAACUUAUCACAGGUAAUACUCAACGGCUCAUAUACUGGAAUAUUACAACUCAUAUGAAGAAUGUGUAGUUGUACAUCAUAAUAGAUGAUCAAUUCUCUUCAA